CGAGAGGCCCAAACAUUAUUCGGAAUUACUGGGCUUAAAGAGUUCGUAGGCGGCAUGGUAAGUAGGGUGUGAAAUCCCUCGGCUCAACCGAGGAAUUGCGCUCUAAACUACCGUGCUAGAGGAAGCUAGAGGUGAGCGGAACUGAUGGUGGAGCGGUGAAAUGCGUUGAUAUCAUCAGGAACACCGGAGGCGAAGGCGGCUCACUGGGGCUUUUCUGACGCUGAGGAACGAAAGCCAGGGUAGCGAACGGGAUUAGAUACCCCGGUAGUCCUGGCCGUAAACGAUGAGCACUAGGCCGGAGGGCUGCACAGCUUUUCGGCCGUAGCUAAAGUGUUAAGUGCUCCGCCUGGGGAGUAUGGUCGCAAGGCUG
rnacentral:rRNA from 1 species